AAAUGUCCCUUAGGAGCCUGAAGAUCCCAGGCUGUGAAUACAUAGGGCCGAGGGUCACAGGGAGUGCAUGGAUCCUGCAAAGCAGCAAGUGCAAAUGAAAGGGCAGAGUGCAGGAUGCAGAGGGUAUUCAAAUGAAAAAGAUGGGGUGAGAGAGGAGAUGAUGAUAGUGGUGGUAGUGUUUUUGGUGCUUCUGAGCUCAUCAAUUGCAGCAGAAAAGUCCAGAAAUAUAAGGCCAGGGAGAAAAAAUAUAAGAUAGGGGAGGAAGAAGUCAUUAGAAACCUUAAGUGUGCUAUAAGGGCAGCUUUGUUUAAGUUAAGUAUUGACAUUGUAUUUACUUAGUGAUUUAAAAAAAUUAACAUUUUUGCUGUUUUUCUGGGUUGGGAGACAUUGAUGGCUCUAUAAAUGUUGAGUUGAAGCGCCCAUUUGGCGCUCUCCCUGGUGCUGGAUUUGCAUAGUGCAUUCCUUGUCUUGGGGGUGUUGUGGAAACCAUCCCUUUCUCUCUGUUCAUCUCCCUUUAGGUGCUAGCCAGGAAAUAAAUUUUGCCAAAUAAAGUCACCUUUACAUGACUUGUACUUCUUCUCCACCCAGCAUCUCUUAGGCUGAUGUUUGCAGCGAAGUGUAGAAGAGAGACAGUAGUCCUUUCCAGGAGUAAAACUCUCUCCCUACAUUUUUCCAAACUAAAUCAUGUUAACAGUGGCUUUCGUGGCUUUCAGGGGGUGGUGAGUUUAUGGGGAAUCCUUAUUUUAUUUACAUUUUCCAAGUACUACUUCCAUAGUUAAAUUUGUCUUUUUUGAACAAAGAAAAGUACAUUGAAGGUGAUUGGAAUUCUCACUCAUAGAAAGUCUUGUAAGAGAAUCCUCAUAAGCCAUGGCAUUCUCAGUGACAUGGCAAUGCCUCUGAGUCUCUUUUAGGAGAAGAUUCUCAGCAUAAUAUUCAGGUUUUUAAAAUUUAUUUUUUAAAAAGAUACAUGAGUAUAAACUCUGUAAGGUGAGCUUUAGGAUUGUUAUUGAAAACAGUUUACUACUCCCAAGUGACUGCUUCUCUUCCUUUCAAUGUAGGACAUCACUCAUGAGUAUCAACUCUUCAGUGCAUUACAGGAAAAUGUGGUUUUGGAAAAUUCCUGAGAAAAGAACUAUAAGGGCAUGUCCUAUGUCAUAUGUCUAAGAAAAACUUAGCUAGCAGGGAUAAAUGGAGAACAUAGUCAUAUGGUUAAGAUGUCUCAAAACCAAAGCUGGACACUAUCUAUGAGCUUCACGCAUAAAGCACCAGGUAUUACUCACUGCCCUCCACUGCUCUCUUCACACCUCCAUGCUCUGAGCCAGUUGACAACAUUACCUUUGUCCCCACAUACUUUCUGCUGGACUGCUGUUGGGCUUUCCAUUCAUUCAUCCAACUUUUAUUGAACCCCUAGCAUGUGCCUUUUACUGCAUCUUUGCUCUGAGAUGACAGAAAUGGACAUGACAGAUCCUUUCCCUAAAGAGACAUGAGCCUAGAGGAGAGGCAGCUGUGCUAAGGUGAUAGUAAAACAGAUGACUGCUGACACAAAGGCUCAUACAGGGUGUUAGGGAGCCCAGAGAGCUAAUUUUGCUUGACACAGGAGGGCAGAGAAUAAAUAAGGCGGGGGGGGGGGGGGUAGUUACAAAGGAGGAGACACUUGCACUAAUUCAUCAGGUACACUGGGGAGGGGGCAAUGACAGAGGAUCUGGGGAUAGAGACCCAGAGAGGAGAGCCAGGAGUCCACAUCAAGAGAAGGGCUCAGGAAUGACAAAGUGAUUUAUCUGGGACUUAUUCUGGCAAACUGUUAAGUGGAAGACUGAACCCAAUGGACCAAGAACCUGAGGGGGUAGAUGUAAUGGGUGGAAUUCUAAGAUAAUCUCCACCCCCUGCAGAAUUCUCUCCCCCUGAGAGUGAAAAGGAUUUGUGAAGAUCUAGUUUCACACCUGUGACUAUGUUACUUUAUAUAGUAAAAGGGGUUUUGUAGGUAUAAUCAAGGUCCCUAAUCAGUUGACUUUGAGUUAAUUAAAAAGGGAGAUUAUCCUGGGCCUGAAAUAAGCAGGUGAAGUCUUUAAAAGGGUGCAGGCCUUCCCAGAAGUCAGAGUGAUUCCAAGCAGAAGAGAGGCUUUCCUAUUGGCCUUGAAGAAGCAAUCUGCCAUGCUGUAGAGAGAACCACAUGGCAGGGAACAACAUGUGGCCUCUAGGAGCUGCAAGUGAAUUAAACAAGCAGUGAGCUUGGAAGAGGACUCUAAGCCUCAAGUAACAUUCCAGCCCUGGCCAACACCUUGAUUCCAUCCUGAGGAAUGCCCAGGUGAGUGAUGUCAGCUGCAGCUCUGUGACUUCCCCUGCCCGACAAGAGACGGGUGGAAAGUAGAGAAUCCAGAGAUGAUGUUUAUACCCCGAUGAGACAUCAAAAAUGUGUUUCAUUCAAAGGACCCUGAGAAAAAUCACAUCACCCUUUGAGUCUGUCUCCCUGUCUGCCAUAUAGGAAUCACAAAACUAAUCACAAAGGCUUGCCGGACUGUCAUGAGGAUGAUUCAACCCACUGGCAUUACUUUGAUGUAGAAAGAGAAGACUGAAGGUUUUUGAACUGCAUGCUAGCAGGAAUGCAGCUGACAACAUAGUGACCGAGAUCUGCUCCCAGGGGUUCUGGAUGAGCAGGGAGAUCCACAGAAUUCAAGGCCCUUCAGAAGUUGAAUGGGCCACUCAUCAGGGAGGAGCUGUGAAAAGCCUUGAUGGAAUCUAGAAACUCAAAUUCUCGUCCUGGCUCCUUCAUCAACUCCAUGCCCAUAGGCAAAUCACUUAGCCUCUGGAGUUCGGUUUCCUCAUUGGUAAAAUGCAGUAAAGAGAAGGGCUCAUAAUUUAUCUUCAUUCACAGCUCUGAGUUAUCCUUCUAUUAAUAAACAUGUCACCACAUUCGCACCAGAGGUGAAGAAGAAUUUGGCUGUUUCCAAUCUAAAUAUCAGGAUACCCAUAUCAUUACAAAUGAGGAAACACCCUAAGAUGUGGCCUGCAGAGCUGAAGGCGACAGAUGGAUCCUUGUCCCCUCUGUAUUCUCUGCCCAACUACAGGAGGCCAAGUACUUUGCCAGGUUUUGCCCUGGGUCAUCAUCGGUCCACCCCAUUCUUGUAUAACCUCCCUUCCCGUUGGCAAAACACUCUUCCUUGCCAAGCUCAGCCUAAGACUCUCACCCCACACCCUCUUCCUAAUCAGGCCAAAGAUAGAAUGUGUUUCCCUUAUUUUAACUAGAUUUAUUAGGCUUAGCCUAAGUCUAGCAGAUUUUAAUAGUUAUUAGUAAAACAUUCUUCCAUUUCCUUAUAAAUACUAUAAUCAAUGUUCCUAUUCUCAAAUGCACCACUUAACGUAUCUAAAAUCAGAUAUGGAAGAGUAAUUUCAAUUUGUUCAUAACAAAGUUUUCUGAAGAUAUAAGCAGAUUUUGUCAGAUUCAGUGGCACAAUUCUUACAAACAUGCUCAUGCAUUGUAGUGUGGGCAAACUAUCACCAGAGCUUGUCAUUACACCUUGUAGACAUUCUUAUCAUUGGUUCUUAUACAAUCCUUAUGAUCUGUUAUUGUCACCCAAAAGUGAUGGCCAGUUAAGUGGUUGGAUCCACAUGAUUACCAAAGGCUCACUGCUUCCUUGACUGCAACAUUCUCAUUAAAAUUAUGCCCUAGAUGUUUCAUAUAUGGCAACACAUUAUAUGGCCCCCCAGGAAGCAUAAGCAGUUGGUGGACAUGAAAGGACCUUGAAACCCUGUAUAACAUAGUACAUAUGCCAGCUGUCCUUUAACAUAGUAACAGAUGGUGGCCAAAGUCCAGCUGGGCUCCAGGCCCAGCUCUACCUCUUAAUAGUUGUGUGAUCUCUACUAAGUCAUUUACACACUCUGAACCUCAGGCUUUUCAUCUGUAAAAUACAAACGAUAGCAAUAUUUUCUCUACCAUGAGGUUCAAAUGAGAUCAUGGACGGGAAAUCCCUUACAGGUCAUGAAGCAACACUCAUACAUUAGCCAUUUUAUCACAUACAUUGACUUUUAAUCUUCACAACACUGGGAGAUGUCAUUUUCCCCUUUUACAGAUGUAGAGAGUCAAGUGAGUAAGCAUGGUGGACCUGAGGUCCACACCUGGGUCUCCCUGUCUGAUGCUCUUUCCUCUUUGGGAGAAGGCAUACUCCAUGGCACCAUCCCUGCUCAUGGCUAUGUCAUACAAAGAGCACAUUUAGGUGUUGUCCUUAAGCAUGGCAGCAAAUUAGUCCUCCAGAGCCACACAAAAGGGAAAGACCAAGGGAAGGCAGCCAAGACCCUGAGGCCUGUACUGUCCAUGAACCCUACUCCCAGCCCCAGCUGCUUGACUUUCCCCAACACAAGUGUGUUAGCCAAGUACCUGUGGAGCACCUGCUUCCACCUCAGCCCCGGAGAAAGCAUAUGGGAUUCAACUGGCACUGUCUUGAGAAGGCGUGUCAUCUGGCCAAGGCAGAAACUCAGAGACACAGUAAGCAACAGUUGAACAUAAAACAGUAUGUGUUCAGGUGUCAGGUGAGUAAUAAGGAAAGAGGGAGAUUCCUAGAUGCUCCACUUGGGAACACUAGAAAUUCUUGAAGCUCUCUGUGGCCCCAACAAACCCUAAAAAUACCUCAGUUUGGGGAAACAUGGAAUCUACAUCAUCUCCCCUCUUUCCUCAAUCCCACUCUUGAGGUUUCUUUCAGCUCUAUCCCUUCCUGUCCCCAAAACUGUCUCCCUCCCUGGCCUCUAGGCUCCACAAUGUCAAGAGAGCAGAUGUUUCCAUUGCCAUGUGCUGCAGACGCAUUCCAGAGUCAAUCCUCAAUGAACGUCUACUGAACUAAGCAGAUGUAGGCAGAGCACAUGGACAACAACAGGGACUCAAGGCCCAUGAAGAAUUAUGCGGACAGGCUGGACUCUGUCCUAGAAAGGGGGAGGCCUAGGCCCUCAUGGAGGAGCCAAAGGGAGAGAACCCCAUCAAUACACUAUGAACUAAAUGGAGAGAAGUGCUAUUUAGAAAAAAAACCUGAUGAAUAAAAUUCCUGAGAGCAGCAACUGUCAGGGAGCAAACUCCUCCUUUUGUGUGAGAGACAGGAAUGUGGACCAGUAGGUAGCUCUGUUCUGGCCACCACAGGCCAGAGCUGGGAUGUGCAGGUGAAGGGUCUGCUUCCUGCACGUGAAGUAGACUGAGUGGAGCCCUGUGAGCACCUUCCUGACUUACUGUGGGGGACUCAUGAGUGAGUUUUGAGGGCUCUGACCUCUUCAGAGGAAGGAGACCUGAUUGCCAAGCCCAGUGCUCUUCCCUGAUCUGCUGCUGAAUGAGCAGGGAACAAGCAGGGGCUUUCUCUUAACUGUGUGGCCCUUACCUGAUCGGGUAGCAAAAAAGGGAAAUUAAUAGCUACUUCAUGCAAAUGCCUCUCUCUUUUUGUAUACUGUAUUUAGAGAAACUGCUUUUGGCAUUUAGAAAUAAGUUUUGUAUAAGAGUUUGUUGCUGCUGCUGUUAACCAUCCAAACAGUAAAAGCCAAGUGGAAAUCCUCAAAUGUCAGUAAUAUUACCAAAAUGCUUAAAAAUAUACACUAGCCCCCCCCCCUUCAGUCAUCACAUUUUUAAACUUCUGGAAGUAUAGAGAAUCUUCUGAGAAGAACUUGUCAUGAUCUAAUGCUUGACAAAAUGUUUUCCACCUUCCCUCCCCAACCUCUCCCAUUAGGGUUUUUCAAGUGCACUUGAUUGCAACAACUUUGGAUGAAGUGAAGGUACUGUGUGGCCUUGGGCAAGUCCCUACUCCUGUGGGUGUCAGUUGCUGAUUGUAGGACCUCUGAGUUUCUCUUCUGCUAAAAAGGGCCCCUUUUAUAGUACCAUGAGUUCAGAACUAGUGAUCCAAUUAGGAAACAAUGCAGUUCCUAGAAUUAUAGGUCUGCAGGGAACAUAUCCCACUUCUGGCUGAACUGUUCCCAGAGUGCUACUAACACAGAGGUUCCAAACUUUCAAGCCUCAAUAAUGGCUCAAAGGAAUUCAGUAUUUUCUUUUAUACCAAAUGACUGCUGGAACCACAAGGGUUCUGGACAGGCCUUAGCUGGCCCAGUAUAAAGAAUGAAGUUGACCUUCUGCCCUUUUUCUGCUUUCUCUUCCAGUGGUCUCCUAGGCCACCUUCUCUGGAGCUCUCUCCACACCCCUAUCACUGUGCCAUCACCACCACAAGAGUCUGGGCUCUUGGGUGGCCUAUAAGUGCACACCAUGCCUGGCCCUCUCCAGCCCUCUCCUUCCCUGCUUGCUAAAAAAGUCCUUCUUUGGGAAGCUGCUUUUGGGUGGGAAGGAGCCAACUGGCUAAUUCACACUGAGACAUAAUGCUUCGUAAGGAAUUAAAAUGCAGAUGUCCUAUAGGAGAAAAAAAUCCAAGUUCCUAAAGAAGUAGAAGUUGAGGUGUCAAAGAUGAACCAAGAGAGGAUAUUUUGUAGCAUGGGAGCUUUCCAACACCAGAUUUUUGGAUUUUGGUGUGGCUCUACCCUUUCUUUUACAAAUGUGUGCUCUUGGGAAAUUUAUUUAACCACCCUGAAAUCUGAUUUUCUAUGACUAUAAAAUGGCUCUGGAGCCACUGACCUAUCCUCAUGAAAUAACAUUAAAGUGCUUGCAAACUGUACAGCACAGCAUAGCCCUCCCAUGCCUCCACCCACCACCCGCAGGUGUGUCUGGAACACCCCUCUAAGUCAUCUCCUUCUUAGUUCCACUACUCAGAAACCCUGGGAGAAGAGUGAAGGAGAGAAAGAUGCUAGCAUGUUCCCUUCCAGCCUUCCCCAUGCUGCAUCUCCUCUCCACCUCUUAAUCAUCGCAGGGAUUUCAAAUGUUUUUCUGUGUGGAUUUCCCCCCACCCCAAAAGAAAACACUCCAAAUCUCUGAAACCGCAGGGUUUUUGACAUGCUCUGCAACAGGACAACAGAAGACUGGCAUGCAGGGUGGGAAAGAGGAGGAUCUAAGUUGUGGACAAAAUCAGGAGACCUAAAGACCGUGCUUUUUUUUUUUUUUUAACCUACACAACAACGUGUGCCUCCUGACACUAUUCACAGCAUCUCUCAGACCCCUUGAAGACUGGGCAGCACAAUGAUAGGCUUGGUGCUAUUUUAAAAUCAGGCAGCACAUGGAAUGGGGCUAUCCUUACAUACUCCUCUCAGUCAGAGGACAGUCCACCAGCCCCUAACAGAGUGGAUACUCUCCUUUAUUUAAAUGUAGACGUUUCUCAUUUCCAAAGAUUAAUAUUUAUAAAGUCGUAACUUUUGGGGAAUUAUUCUGGCUAUUCCUAAUUACCAUUAGGCUCAUAUGAUAACAAAGUAUUCCCAAGUAAGUUUGGGAAUUGGUCCAAAAAUGCUAACAUAGAAAUAAGUGAGUAAAAACCAUGUUUAUUAAGACCUAGUACGAUCAAAUCAAGUAAUGCAUGCUGGAAGACAAGGUCACACACUGAUCAGAGCUGGGUUAGAACACAGUUCUUUUUGUUUUUUAUUUGAGAGAGAGAGAGCCCACGCUCUCUCUCAAGCUGACUCCACACUCACCUCAGAGCCCGAUGUGGGGCUUGAUCCCACAAUUAUGAGAUAAUGACCCAAGCCAAAAUCAAGAGUUGGUCACUCAGCAGACUGAGCCACUCAGGCACCCCUAGAGCACAGUUCUAAUCCAGUUCAUGGAUGGUUGAGAAACAGGAAAAUAAUAUAAACUAAAAGAUAAUUAUGAGCCAAAAAUAAAAAUAAAAAGACAAAUUCAAAGCUGGUUCAAAACCAAACACCAAUCUAAAUUCAACUAACAAAUAGAUGUAAAUUAAAUGAAAAAAAGCAUAAAUAGUAAUGCAAAUUUCAGACAUGCAGAGUAAAUGUUAACAGGAAAUCCAUUUAAGUGGUCCACUGAUCUGGAGUUGUUACUGUCAACAGUAGGGAUCCUAGUGGGUCAUAAUUCUGAGGAGAAAGUGAUUACAUAUUGGGAAAAUAGGGUUAGAGACAAAACAAUAACAGAAUGCUGCAGCUUGUGUUUGACACAAAUUGAAGUCAGAAGUGGAGUUAUAACCAUUUUUUUAUGAAAAUCAAGAAGAAUAAACAGAAAAGAGUUCUUGAUCCCCUUUCCACAAAAAAAGUAAUAAAAUGCCAGUAACAAGAAAAAUGAAGUUAUUAAGAGAAUUCCUGAGCCCAGAUAAACUCUCAGUUUGAUUGGGGUGAAUGCCCAAACCAGGUUGUUCUAGGACAAGGCCCUUAUAGUGGCUGUGGAAAGCAGUUGAGGACAGGUACCUCGUGGUGCCUAUUGUAGGGAGGGCAAGAAGUUGUGAAGACUCAGAAGACUGUGAAGAAAGGUUUCAUUGUAAGGACUUUCAGACUGCAGAUAUUCACCUCCUCCACCAUCAGCCUUCUCUGUUCUAUCCUCUUGGGCUAGCAGUAUGACACUAAACCUUGGGGCUUGUGCCUCAUACUUACCUGGCAAAUAAUGAAGAGACUUCCUAAGAACCCCCCCAAAUUUCCCAGUUCGAUUACUGUAGGUGCCUAAAUCAGGUUGCUACACAGUAAAGACCUGUUUUACUGAACACUGUCAGCUCAAUUCAUGGUUUCCCCAGCACCUCCCAGCCAUGGCUUCCAAGAGGCCAAAACUCCUCUAGGAAAAUGAAGGAAGUGCCUCUGCAAUAUUUAAGUCAAAUGUUGGGACUCUGGAACAACAAGAAAUGGAACCUGAGCAAAACUAAUUGGAACAUGACAUGGACCUUACAGUAAAAGAAUUUUUCUGGUAGAAUUCUCAGCUACAAGAAAACAUAGAAUGUGGCUCAAGUUCAAACAUUGUACUGGUAAAUCUCACAGAUCUAGACUUUCACUUAGAGUUUUUUUUCUUUAUCAGAACGGUCCAAAAUUGUACUAAGUAUCUAGGAGCAAUGUACCUAGACACAGCAUUGGCCUUGAAAAUUCAAAAACAGCAAGUUAUAAAACUGGGUAAGUUGUAUAGUAGAAAAUGCCCCUCUUCAAGGCCAUUCACCAGAAACAGAAUUUUGAACCUGGAAGGAACCUUAACAGGAGACCCAGGUUUAGGGUAAUAAUACCAUCUGAUAAAAGGAGGCACAGGGCCUUGGAAAGAGGCCAGUGCAAUAAAGGGCCUUAAAGUUUGAGGUUCUUUAGCUUCAUGGUACAUCA